GACGUAGGGCGCGAGCGUUAAUCGGAAUUACUGGGCGUAAAGCGUGCGCAGGCGGUUUUGUAAGCCAGAUGUGAAAGCCCCGGGCUUAACCUGGGAAUGGCAUUUGGGACUGCAAGGCUUGAGUGCGGCAGAGGAGACUGGAAUUCCUGGUGUAGCAGUGAAAUGCGUAGAUAUCAGGAGGAAUACCGAUGGCGAAGGCAGGUCUCUGGGCUGACACUGACGCUCAUGCACGAAAGCGUGGGGAGCAAACAGG
rnacentral:rRNA from 1 species